rnacentral:rRNA from 1 species
UACGUAGGGGGCUAGCGUUGUCCGGAUUUAUUGGGCGUAAAGAGCGUGUAGGCGGCCAGGUAGGUCUGCUGUGAAAACUCGAGGCUCAACCCCGAGCCUGCAGUCGAUACGGGCAGACUAGAGUGCGGUAGGGGAGACUGGAAUUCCUGGUGUAGCGGUGAAAUGCGCAGAUAUCAGGAGGAACACCGGUGGCGAAGGCGGGUCUCUGGGCCGUAACUGACGCUGAGGAGCGAAAGCGUGGGGAGCAAACAGG